UUGUCAGUAGCCAUCAACUCUCUCUGGGAUAACACCUCUCUUCAGCGUGACCGUCAUGAAGAGGAGCGUUGUCACAGUGAGGGUGAAAGUGGCUGAAUGUGAC
rnacentral:pre_miRNA from 1 species